UACGUAGGGUGCAAGCGUUAAUCGGAAUUACUGGGCGUAAAGCGUGCGCAGGCGGCUUUGCAAGACAGAUGUGAAAUCCCCGGGCUUAACCUGGGAACUGCAUUUGUGACUGCAUGGCUGGAGUGCGGCAGAGGGGGAUGGAAUUCCGCGUGUAGCAGUGAAAUGCGUAGAUAUGCGGAGGAACACCGAUGGCGAAGGCAAUCCCCUGGGCCUGCACUGACGCUCAUGCACGAAAGCCAGGGGAGCGAACGGG
rnacentral:rRNA from 1 species